rnacentral:rRNA from 1 species
AUUGAACGCUGGCGGCAGGCCUAACACAUGCAAGUCGAACGGUAACAGGAAGCAGCUUGCUGCUUUGCUGACGAGUGGCGGACGGGUGAGUAAUGUCUGGGAAACUGCCUGAUGGAGGGGGAUAACUACUGAAAACGGUAGCUAAUACCGCAUAACGUCGCAAGACCAAAGAGGGGGACCUUCGGGCCUCUUGCCAUCGGAUGUGCCCAGAUGGGAUUAGCUAGUAGGUGGGGUAACGGCUCACCUAGGCGACGAUCCCUAGCUGGUCUGAGAGGAUGACCAGCCACACUGGAACUGAGACACGGCCCAGACUCCUACGGGAGGCAGCAGUGGGGAAUAUUGCACAAUGGGCGCAAGCCUGAUGCAGCCAUGCCGCGUGUAUGAAGAAGGCCUUCGGGUUGUAAAGUACUUUCAGCGGGGAGGAAGGGAGUAAAGUUAAUACCUUUGCUCAUUGACGUUACCCGCAGAAGAAGCACCGGCUAACUCCGUG